rnacentral:pre_miRNA from 1 species
GGAAACUUGAAAACUACCGCUGGAUCGAGCAAUGGACACUCGAGAUUCGUCUACGUCACCAUGAGUAAAAUUUUAACUCAUGAAUGAUCUGCGAGUUAAAUUUUAACUCACGAUGACAUGGACGAAUCUCGGACGUCCAUUGCUCGAUUCAACGGUAGUUUCCAAGCUUCC